CAUAGCAAAUCAACCAUGUCACAGAACAUAUGCAAAAAAGAUAAGCAUGGCCCCUGCACAAGGCUGACAUGCAAAUUCGUGAAGUGUUCCCUGUUUUU
ensembl:snRNA U6 U6 spliceosomal RNA